GGCCCUGCUCACCACACUGUUACCAGUAAAGGAGAAGUCAGAGAAUGCCAGAUAUAGCUAAAGGAAGCAAUGAGCAAGCCCCAUAAUGCUCUGGUACACUAGGGCUUAAGCUCCAGUGAGGAAGAAACAGAAGUUGAGCCCUGUUAAGAAAGUAAGGAAGGGUAGAGAGAAGGGCCAAACAAUCCAGAUGUGUAGAUGUGUACAUGUCUUGACACACGUGGAGGUCAGAGGACAACUUGUGGGAAUUGGUUAUUUCACUCCACCACAUGAGUACCAGAAACCUAAUGCAGUUUGCUGGCUUUGGUUGACCUCAAAAAGGAUGCUCUUCUGUUCCUCGUGACGCUACCUCCCCCAGGAAUGACAGCUUUGCAGAUGAAUAACUGCUGCGGAGAAAAGCCUGAGAAAACAGGAUGAAGAUUCUAUGUGUGUUGAUUUGGCAACACAGAAUAACGUUGUACAGAAUUUUUCAAAGAGACCCUGAGGAGAUUGCUCCUUUGGUAAAGCGUUUGCUGUGGUAAAAUGGAAACCUGAUCACCAGCACCUACAAAAGAAGCCGGGCAUAGUGGCACAGGCCUCUCAUCCCAGCGUUCAGAUGAUGGAGACUAAUGGAUCCCUGAGGCUUGCUGGUCUACCAGCCUCAAGUAGACUCAUUGAGCACCAGAAGCUGCAGAGAAUGGAAGCAUCAUGGAGAAAAUGGCAGGGAGACCCAAGACUCCAAGACAAGAAGGAUGAAGUAAAAGAAGCAAUCAGGAAAGAAGCAUUGCUGUCCAUGGGCAGAACUAUCCCAGGAAGUUAAUCGCGAUAAACACAAGGCCGCAAGGAGCAAGCCAGUACUCAGUGUUUUCCUAUGACUUCUGCAUCAGUUCCUUCCUUGAGUUCUUGCUUUGACUUCCCUCAGUGAUGGACCUGAAAGUUGCAAUUACUUCUUUUCGACAGCCUGGGAGGCAGAAGUUUUUACACUAAGGUGGACCAGGCUGGGAAUCUGAAAGACUGAACCAUCUGACCAAUCCUCACUGUAGGAGUGCAUGCUGACACAAGAAGUCAAUCUUGUUUUCUGGGACACAGGCUUCUGAAUGCAUAAGUACGUCUGGUAUGUCUAUAAAAAUGGCCCUGAUUGCUGUUCCUGUUAUCAAUAGCCAUACAUUGCUUUUUAUUUGUAUUUUAAAGAUGUAGCCUUUCUCCCUGUCUCAGAGGAAAAUACUUGUAUCAACAAGAAUGAAAAUCAUCUUUAAAGUAAAUGAUUGUGUCCAGAAUUUAUAUACUUUUAUGUUUGAAAAAUACUCCUAUUUUUCUAAAGAAGAUCAGAACAUUGGUCAGUGACAGAGAUGUAAAGAGACCAGUGAUAGUGGUCAUUCUACUUCUGUCCAGAGAAAUGGGUAACUAGAAUAGUUGCCUGUCUAGACACUUUACUACAGAGACUCUCCCAUUAGAUUUCUGCUUUAUCCCUUAAAGUCAUCUUUCUUUCUGACCCAUUUCUAUAGAUGAUAUUAGAAGACUCCUUUAUCAGUAACGUUUUUCAGUGACCCUUCAGACACUGGAAUCAAACAUGUACGUUGCUGUUUAAGAUUCUGGCUGGUAUGUCUUCCCUCUUUAGAGGCAUACACCCUAUUCUUGGCAUGCAGAGUUUUGGGGAUGGCAGUACAGCGUGGAAAAUUCACCCUCGAUGGUACUUUAUCAUACAUCUCAAAAUAGUGCUGCCUUGACACUGAUCUUUUCCCUCCUGGAAUAAUUUUAUGAUCAUCUCAACAUUCAAGGAUAUAUAGUACUCGGAUUUCUGAGUUACAGCAAAUGAUACAUUGUGAUAUUUUUAAAGGAAGGCUUUAAUAAUUAUUGUUUGUGAUAAAUAGAAUAAAACAGCUCUAUAUAUUAGGCUGAAAUGUAGCAGGAAUGCACUCUUUUGUGUAACAAAUUAGAUUCUAAUAAGCUUCAUAAAUUCCUUCCUUAUACUUUUUUUCUGCCUAAACACAAAAUAAUUGCCAGUAUUUACGUGCAUCUAAAUAGCAUGAAAUCCUUUUUAAAUAUCAUCGUAUAUUUAGAAAUGUUAGUGUUAAUUGUCUGUGAUCCUUUCACAUCACACCUUGGUUUGAAAAAGAUUCUUUUUUGAAGAGUCUGCUUCAUGGCAAAACGGAGAUAAACUGGGGCCCACUUCAGAAUGUGGAAGCAUAAUAGUCUGGAGAGGUUGUUCAGUGAUGAAGGGAUGUACUCAUCUUCCACAAGACCCAAGGCUGACCAUUUUGGGUCACCAUUGGCUGUAACUCUAGCUCUAGAGGAUUUGAUGCUUUCUUCUGCUAUACUUACAUGCAACACACACACACACACACACACACAUAAAGACAAAAAGUAUUUUAUUUAAAGUCAUAGAAACAUGAGCAAAUCUCAGAGUUUGCAACAAAUUCAAAGGGCCUCUUUUGAGAGGUGAUAUGAGAGAUAUAGAUAGAUAGAUAGAUAGAUAGAUAGAUAGAUAGAUAGAUGAUAGAUAGAUAGUUGAGAGAUAAGAAGAGAGAAGGAAAACUGUUUUCUGUUAACUAUUCAAUGCACGACAGACAUUUUCUAAAGUUGUGUAGUUAGUAAAACAAACACUUUCCUUGUCUGUUGGUACUCAGUUGUCCUUUUCUUCUCUGCUUUUCUUACUUGCUAAAGCAUGGAAUGUCUUUAUUCUGGGAAGUUCAUCUUAUUCUUGCCAGUUCUGACGAUUGGUUUGCUACAGUACAAAGUAGGAAUUUCCACCCUGUCUUUAGCUGCUUCUGAAGAUGGACUUGCUCCUUACAGGGACAUGUGGCCAUCAACAUCCUUUGGAAUUCACAUUGGCGCCAUUAUUCUUUAAAAAACAAACAAACACAUGUUUACCUAAGCAUUCUCUUGACUCUAACACUUUUUUUUUAUCACAAUUUAUAUUAUUAAAUGUAGUCACUAAUUUCUGUAGAAUCGAGCUUGCGUAGUUCCUGCAGGAAUCUCAUCUAUUAUUGUAUCUAUUUGAACUAUGAAUAGUUCCUAUCCAUGAGAGCAUCUUUCUGCUUAAUUGGAUGAGGAUUAUAUUCUCAGGUGAAUAGUAGUUUUUCAUAGAUGAUGACUAAGGUCCUCAAAAGCAGAGGGAAAAAAAAACCACGUUUGUUGAGUCUGACAACCAAUGAAAUUAGGUACAGUUACUAAAAUGUUAUUAAGACAUUUGUGACCUGGGAUUAUACAUGUAAAAGCAUAUAGAAAUGCAUAUAUCUCUCCAAUGAACUACCAGUACUUGUCUUCCAAAGUGGUAAGAUAAAUAUCAUUUUGAGAUAUAGAAACAAAGCAAAGGAAAUUUAUGCCAUAGAAAUGGUUAUGGAUACUGCCAGUGCUAUUUUGGUGUUGGACUCACUGUGGCAUAAAAUGCUAAAUGUCUUUCAGUGGCUCAUGGAAAGAACAGAAUUUCCCCCCUUGAAGUUUGUAGAUGCCUAUGGACCACUCAGAAUACUAUGAAUAAUUUAGCUCAACUGUAGACUUCAGUUACUAAAAUCACUAGGACAUUUUAUAUAAGUAGCACCCCUAUGAAAUUAAUAAAUUAGCUUCCAAGAAAGAAUAAGGUAAGGGCUUAUCCAUUUAAAAAUAUGGAUUUUAAAAUUAGCAUUUGAGAGAUCAUGAAGAUGGUUUGGCUAUAAAGGUAGUUGGUAUGAAUGAAGCUUAAUGGCCUGAUUUGGUCCCAGGAGUCCAAAUGAUAGAGGAAAAGAACUGUCUCCUACAAAUUGUCCUCUACCCUCCACAUGUAGACCUUGAAGUGUGCAGUUCGUAUACAUAAAUAAAUAUUUUUAAAAUAAAAAUACAUAAAACUAAAAUGUACAUGUUGCUGUCAUAAGAUAAUAAUUAUGGAUCAUUAGUUAUUUCUAUUGCUCACACAUGGGCUGGUGUGAGACCCUCAGGACAUAUUUGCAGAGAAGACUGCCAUGUCUGGCUUCAGUGGUUGAGGAUGUACCUAAUCCUGUAGAGACUUGAUGGCCCAGAGAAAGGGGAUGGGGGGGUACCCUCUAAGAAGCAAAAAGGAGGGUAGGUGAACUCUGGGAGGGGACAUUUGGAAUGUAAGUAAAUAAAAUAAUUGAUUAAAAAUUAAAAAAUAAGCUGUAAGCUAACUUAUUUUUGUUUUCUUCAUAUAUUAUUAUGCAGGCACACAUCAUUUCUUUAUGUUGGAAAUAUUCAAAAUUCAAGGAGAAAUUUUGAAAUAUAUUUUUGAGUUCAGUUUUUUGUAGCUACGUGUGUGUGUGUGUGUGUGUGUGUGUGUGUGUGUGUGUGUGUGUUUAUGAGAUUCCUUACAAAUUUCAGUAGUUUUUUUUUCCUAUUUUUGUGAAGAAAUUCAAUGACAUUUUUAUGGAAAUUGCGUCUGUCUGUUACUUUAUGACUCUAACAAUUUCAAUUCUUUGAAUUGAAUAUAAGAUGUUUUAGACGCUUUUUGCAAUGUCUUCAAUCUCUUGUACAUGUGUUCUACAAUUUUCUUUCUAGAGGCUGUUCAUUUCCUUGGUUAAAUUUGUUUCUAAACAUUUUGAAGCUGUUGCAAAUGGUUGCACAUGAUAAAUUUCAUUCUCAGCUUUGGUAUUUCAUUGUGUAUAUAUACACCACAUAUCCCUUAUCCACUCAUGAUAGACACCUAGGUCCAGGCUGUAACUUGGUUGUUGUGAAUAAAGCUGCUACAAACAUGAUUGUGUGACUUUUUUUAACCUGCUAAUUAAAGUUUCUUUAAAUUUACACCUGGUGGUGGAACAGGAAGCUCCCCAAAGUUCUAGUUUUUGAGAGGCCUCUAUACUGUUUUCCAUAAUGGCUAUUUUAACUUACAUUGCUACUAUAAGUACAAGAUAUAGCCUCUUUCUCUAGUCUUAGUUACUUUGUCUCUUUGAAAAAUUAUAUGUUUCUGUCUUGUGUUUCUUCUACUUUUUUAUAUUUAGUGUCCCCUGCUACCCGUGUGUGUGUAUGUGUGUGUGUGUGUGUGUGUGUGUGUGUGUGUGUGUGUGUGAUUUGCAUAUAUAUGUUUGGUGCCUGCAGAGGUCAGAAGGUAUUAGUAUUGUGAGAUAGACUUUAUGACUUGAAAAUGAAAUUUCCUGAGACGUUUAUGUGUUGGGAAGUUGUUUGUCAGCUGGUGGGUUUUGGUUGGACCAUGAUGAUUCUUUAUAAAUAGAUUAAUCCAUUUAUUAGUUCAAGUUUUGACUGGAUUUUUGGGAGAUGAUGGAAGUUUUCAAUAAGAUGUUGUUGACUGGGGAUGUGUCUUUGAAGAGUAUGACUUCUGUCUUCCUCCUGUCUGCUGUGAGGUGAAUAAUCUCUUCUACAUAUGUUCAAUGUCAUGGCAUUUUGCCUCACAUUAGGUCCAAAGAAAUGAAGCUAGCCUAGAUCAUAGGAAAUCCUCUGGAACCAUGAGUAGAUAUUUCAGAAUAGAUAUUUAUUCUGAAUAGUUAUUUAUUUCCUUUAAACUUUCUCAGAUAUCUUCAUUACAGGUACAGAAAACUAAGCAAUAUAUCAGACAGUAUCAUGUAUGUGUAUGUGUGUGUUAUUUAAAUGGGAAUGCACACCCACAAAAUUCACUUGUAAACUUUCAAUGUUUUCUUUGUUUUUAUGUCUUCUUUUUUCUGUUUGUUACAAGCAGUCCCUAGCUAAUUGUCUGGGCAGAACAAUUAAAACCCAGAUACAGUACAUUAAACGUCUCUGAAUGUACUUGUGGUGUUUGUAUAGCAUGACCACCCUAGAGGGAAUUUUCAACAACUGUCUCAAAUGUUCCCUCACUGUGUUCUCAAGAUGAAAUGAAGUGUUACGAUUUUACUGGAUCAAUUUAAAGAUGCCUGAUUUGACUUUUGAUAUUUUAUCUCCUUCUGUUCAAAUGAUUGGGACCAUUUUAGAUCCAGGAGCUGGAGUAUCUGGGCCAUCAUUGCCUUUACCGUCCACAGUUAUUGAAUGAAUAUCUUACUGACUUUGGAGAUGCUCUUUACAUUUUCCUCAAAAUAAUUUCAUGGUAAGCUGUUUGUCUCAGAAGAUGAAAAGGCAUUUAUCCAUCUUUCUUAGCUUAUUAGUUUAUGUGCAUAAAAGAUUUUCUAGCAAUAUUUCUGGUUGAAACUUCUCACAUGUUGAUAAUCUUGGUCAAUUCCAUAGCAGGAUUUGAGGGGGUUCCAGAGAAGAGCCUUUCUGUGCCUUUUGCCAAUCGAUGACAAAUGGUCUCAAGUCAUCUUCUAUUCCAGUCCUUCUGAAAUUCUUGCAUGAAGGAAUCCCUUAAGUCAUAGCCUACUUAGUAAGAAUUUUCUUCAAUCAGAUUAUUACUAUUAUUAUUAUUAUCAUCAACAUCAUUUUCUGAAGUGCAGGUGUUGAGUCAGAAAUCAAGUCUUGGGUCCUUAGAAAGUGAAGCUGCUCUGGGAUUGGACAAAUUGAAAAACAGGGAUAAAGAACAAAGGCUCUUUUAAGCUUUGUACUUUACUGCCUGGUGACUUAGUGAUUUCUGUACACCCAUGUUAUUCAUCUUGCAAGGGGCAUAGCCAAUGGUGGAGGUCUAUAGAGGUGGGGCUCCAUGGAAAGAGAUAACGGCCAGUUUUGCAAGUUACAUAGAUGCCCUAUCAGAGACGAACAGGUACAUGUGGACGUUUCUGCAGUUUUAUUUCAGAGGAAAAUAAACCUAGAUGAUAUUGCUGUGGUUGCUAUCAUAUCUAAAUGAUGCAGAUGGGGCUUUGGAGCAGAAAGCUGGGACAGGCUAAGUCACAGUCCAAUUUCUCAGUCUACAUGAGUACUCAUUUAGCUCUUCCCUGCAUAAAGUCCAAGGGAAGUUCAUUUAGUCUCCGCAUGGACACUCCAUCAUUAAAUCUUUCCUCUGGGUGGCAUUUUCCUCUCAGAUUUACAGCCAUUGCUUCUCUCGACCUCUGUAAGCAGGAAGUAGCCACGUAUUGCUGAGUUUUCUGAAUCCUUGCUGCCCACAGCCAAAUGAGAUGCUGGCCUGAGCCUCAGUAUUGCUCUCACGGAAGGUUCAAUAUAUUUGGAACAAGAAGAAAAAAAAAAGCAAAAACUAAAUAGCCUCCCGAAAUGUAAACUUUUCCUGAGACAACUCUGGAUUACAAUUCUGAUUUUAAAGUUUUAUCUUCUAAAGAAAAGACUCCUUUAAUUACCAAUAACCCUCAGACUAGUUGGAGCAAUAUCCCCAGCAAAUUCACAGGUUUUAGUUUUUAUACUACGGCGAUCAAGGAUGCUAAUUAAAAUGCACAAGGUUCCUUCUGGUAGCUUGUAAUUGACUCGGCUAGGGUUUGGGGGGUUGCUUUAAUAAAUGACCUUAUGAGCUGUGCCACAAAUGAUAUAAAGGCUUUGUUCUUGUUUUAUUGUUGUUAUUUGUUUUUCAAUAACUGGAAUGUCAGCAGCACUCUAGAGAGCUGGUCAUCUUCUCCAUUUUUACCUCGAUUGUCUACUGCUAAAAGAGUAUGAGUACUCUUAAGCCACUCUAGACCUCAGAUAUUGUGGCUAUAGGUACCACGUAUAGAUAUGGGAGAAUGUUGCCUUGUUGAUUGGAUCAAGCUCAGUCGCUAACUCAAAGAAUGGGGUUUCAUCAAGUUCCAAGACUUAUCUAGUGGUUUUUCUGUGUAGCAUUGGAUUUUCUUAGUUGCUUUGACAGUAUUGCCUGAUUUCAUACCAGGGUGUGACAGUCCCAUGGUUUGGUAUGUUUCAGAUAAUUCUGAGUUAUUUGGACUAAUUCAGGAUAUUCAAUAUUGUUAUUUUGCAGGUUAGAAUGGUCAUCCCUGAAAUAAACAAGGACCCACUGAUCUGAACUGCAAGACCAGCCCUGAAGCGGCUAGGUCGGUGUCUGGAGCACAGGGCAUUCAGUCUCUAAGCCUACUGAAUGGCUGUUCUGUGCUAUUUUUUUCCCUUUUCCUUCCUAGGAAAAUGCAAAAAGUGCUUUUCUUCACACCAUUGGAUAAAUUACCUCAGGAUAAAUUGAAUCCUGUUUACAGUCCGGUGGUUUUAUGUAAUCAAUUUUUUUAAACUCAGGUUUCAAACUGGAACACCAUAAUAGCAUCAAGAAUUUGAGUAGUUUUUAAGAGUCCUUCCUCUCUCAACUCUAGGGCUAAAAUUAUGAUUUUUUUUCUAGGUCCGAGCUCUUCCUUCUGCUACACAGCAGCCUUCAACAAGAUACCCACUUUCUCCUCAGUUCAUGCCCUUGCUUGAAUAUAACAACAUUUCCUUUCAUAACCUUUUUUUUUUGGUGGAAGUCAAAUGACAUAAUGUAAAAUUAUAUUUUGUAGGUUUGAAAUCUUAAUAAUCAGUGCCUUAUGAUUUUGGUGACUCCUGGUUUUCUCUCUAUAAAGUGGCCAACUGUCUCUUCAGCAUCGCUAGCUUUGUUACAUCAGCCAAAGCUGAAUGAUGGUAAAAGGGGGGCUGUCAAAGGAGACAAAGGGAACAGUGAGGGCACAGGGAGGAAGACUGGCAUAUGGUGUCGGGGGAGGGGCUCCCAGAAGACGUUGGUCAAUGGAAGAAAUGCAUGAGUGUGCAUGCAUAUGCACACAUCUGCACACACACACACACACACACACACACACACACAGCAUGCAUGUAUAGAAGAAGCUCUUGCACAUAAAAUGCCAUCAUGAAGGGCAAACAUGUCUCUGAUCUUUCUUACCCAUAGAAAACUCAUUCUGCAUUUCAAAGUGACAGCUGCAGCUAUGAUCUUUUAAAGAAUUGUAAUUGCUCUCUCGGCUGAGCAUUUCUUUUAAAGUGUCUAAAUGAGAUCUCAUAGGUUUGUUUGUAGUCCUUUACUUGAAUUAUCCGUUAGCUAGGUAGCUGCGGCGUUCAUCAAAUGUAAAGUAGAACGUGGUGUUUUGGCAGGCCGGGUGUGUAACUGGCUCUGCAAACAUCCUCCAAGGUGUUGUGGAUGACUUUCUCAGCCUCCACGUGAGGUCCUAAGGUUAUGAGAGUCUGGUUAGCAUGCAGAUGCACUUGCAACCCAUUUUUUAUAUUUUCUGUCAUGUCAGUCUGGGUCUGGCUGGAAUCUGUGAUCUGAAUGACUUUUAAGCAACGGGUAUUCCCACACAAAUAUGAAGAUCUCUCGUCUGGUCAAUGCACGUGCCAACAACAGUGUUCUGGGACCAGGUCAGCCUUUGCUUCAGUAGCUCCUGAUUGGUUAGAAGGCCCCAAGAUCCUGAGCUGUUGGCCCAUAGCCAUUUUCUUGUCCUCUGUCUCAUCCCAAAUAAAAGCUUGGAGAUGUCCCUCGGGCAGUUUUCUCUCAUUUCUUUACCUCUUAUUUUGAGCCUUGAAAGCUCCUGGGUGCUUUAAAAAAAUGUCCCCAGAUUUUGGCAGUUUUGGUUGUGGUCGGUGAGUCACAGAACGCAGCAGCCAUUUUUAUUUGCCAUUUUUGGUGUGGUCCAGGACUGCAGAGUGGUGUGCUCCCUUGAGCUAAGGAAUGUCUCCUCAGGAGCUGGGAGCGAAGCAGGAGAGAAACAAAACUUGAUCUUUAGCACAGGGGCUACUGUCAUGCAUCAAUCUACAUCAAAAGGCCGGAGGCUUCCGGCUAGCCCUCCCCCCUCUGGAAACCCUCACAUACCUCAGAUCCAAGGCGGCUAAAAGAAAUGUGAGGAAGCGUAGUUUCACAGGAAUUAAGUCUUGCAACUUAACAGGCAAACAGCGGUGCCCCAGAGGCCCUGCCUCAUAAAACGGUCGUGUUAUUUAUUUAUCUGCUUUUUUCAACACCGGCGUUCUGUUUUGUUAUCAACUUUGCAAUUCGGUGGACAAAACGAACAAAUGGGAAAAAUAAAAGAAAAAAAAAACCUUAUUGCUUGGUUUGCUAAAGUGGGGGAGAGAAGGAGAGAGAGAGAGAGAGAGAGAGAGAGAGAGAGAGAGAGAGAGAGAGAGAGAGAGAGACAUAAUAUCUAUGGAGCAAGAAAGAGUGUGACUGAAUUUUUAUUAAUGGUCAAUAAGCCCAGAUGGAUGUGUGGUAACGUUGCUGAGAGUGUUACAAAGCAAAUCACCGUGUCACAAGAAAUAUUAUUAAAUUCUAUAAUUUCCUUUUCUGAAACUAGUUUCUCUGGAUGGAGUUGGAGAAAGAAAAUUACAUUCAAUAUUCACCUUAACCGAAAAGCAGCUGAGUGUGGUGGCUGAUAUCCUAUAAAUAGCAGAUCUGUGACCUCAUUGCUGUUCUCUCUCUGCCUAGCAGUUUCCAGUUGAAUAGAAAAUUGUCAAUCAUCUGAGGAGUCUGGGCAUAUAGGGAGCUUAUUUGGCUUCUGGUGUGGUCCUGGUCCUUCUUUAGUGGCUGGGCACGGUAUCUCUGAGCAAAAGCCAGCCUGCUGUCUGUUUCAACAACUUGUCUGCUGUCUGUUUCUUUGUCUCCAUUGCCCAGGUAAUUGCAGUUGUGUGGAAUUGGCCUAAGGUGACCUUGAAAACUGUUUUAACCUUUCGGAACCUCGGGUUAUCCAUCUGUAAACCUUCACAGAAAAGCACCACAGCACAGAUAUUUUUAUGCCAAAGGCUGCCAUUUCUGCACCCCUUUCCCCUCUUCUUUGUGGCCACGCAUCCUCGCGUGUGUACCUGUGCCCAUUGUUCAACUUGUGAAAUUUUCAUUUAUCUAACAAAUGUCUUGCUUUACGGAACAUUUUGGCUGUGUCCACAGAUCAUUUUUUUUUGUCACAAGAAGUGAAUGUAGUUCUUCAAAUGAUUUCUUUCUUUCUUUCUUUCUUUUUUUUUUUUUUUUUGUCAACUUGGGAACCAAAAUAAAAUUGACAUUCCCAGAAAACAAAAGGUGCCUCGGAACUCAGAGGCAUUUACUCUGAAAUAAAAAAUUUGUGUUUACUCGGAGCUCAGUUUCUGUUGAAAAACAAACACCAGAGACCCUCAGCAAAAGAAGAGAAGCCCCCCUGCUGACACAUUCUCUCCUUGAUUGAUGGUGUUGUCUUGGCAAAGCAGCUACAGAAAUGGGAAUCAGAACAAACGGGUUGGUGUUAUUCAAUAAAAUACCUUUUAAAAGAGAAAAGAAAUCAUAAAAUUCAAGGGAUUGCAUUUGAAAUGGUGGCAUCUAGCCGUCCCAAUUUGUUCUCUGGGAAAUAAAGAAAAUCGGAUUGAGCUUUGUCCCCUCUCCUGUGAGACCAAUGUGAUUUGAAGGACUUGAAGCUGUAUCCGCAUAUGCAGCUUGUAUCCGGAGGUACACACAGGUGGGCUCAUGCUCACCCUGCUUCCCAGAAUGAUCCACUUCCUAAGUUUCACAGGCUGGAACUUGGAGCUUUAUAACACGGGAACACUGCUGAACCAGUCUAAGCACAGUUGAAGUUUCUGGGUUGUUCUGAGGGCCUAAUACAGUGUAUGGCACGUGUUACCUCAGUUUCUCCUCACGAUGGUCUUCAGUAUCCAGGGAGAGAAAUGGUACAACAGCAUCAAAUACUAAGUUAUUACUCAAAGGUCACACAGGCAGAGAAGAACAGAGAUGGGAUUUGAGCUUUGGUAGACUAACUCCAAAGCUUAUCUUUUUUUUUUCUACAUAAGCCUACCUUUAAGUUUUAUUUUUUAAACCAGAAACACUUGAAACUGUUACUUAAUUUUCUAAAACUAGAAAACCAGUUUUCUUUUUUCCUUUCUUUCUUUCUUUCUUUCUUUCUUUCUUUCUUUCUUUCUUCCUCCCUCCCUCCCUCCCUCCCUCUCUCUCUCUCUCUCU